CUAGCUACAGGCUUAACACAUGCAAGUCGAGGGGCAGCAUGGUCUUAGCUUGCUAAGGCCGAUGGCGACCGGCGCACGGGUGAGUAACACGUAUCCAACCUGCCGUCUACUCUUGGACAGCCUUCUGAAAGGAAGAUUAAUACAAGAUGGCAUCAUGAGUCCGCAUGUUCACAUGAUUAAAGGUAUUCCGGUAGACGAUGGGGAUGCGUUCCAUUAGAUAGUAGGCGGGGUAACGGCCCACCUAGUCUUCGAUGGAUAGGGGUUCUGAGAGGAAGGUCCCCCACAUUGGAACUGAGACACGGUCCAAACUCCUACGGGAGGCAGCAGUGAGGAAUAUUGGUCAAUGGGCGAGAGCCUGAACCAGCCAAGUAGCGUGAAGGAUGACUGCCCUAUGGGUUGUAAACUUCUUUUAUAAAGGAAUAAAGUCGGGUAUGGAUACCCGUUUGCAUGUACUUUAUGAAUAAGGAUCGGCUAACUCCGUGCCAGCAGCCGCGGUAAUACGGAGGAUCCGAGCGUUAUCCGGAUUUAUUGGGUUUAAAGGGAGCGUAGAUGGAUGUUUAAGUCAGUUGUGAAAGUUUGCGGCUCAACCGUAAAAUUGCAGUUGAUACUGGAUAUCUUGAGUGCAGUUGAGGCAGGCGGAAUUCGUGGUGUAGCGGUGAAAUGCUUAGAUAUCACGAAGAACUCCGAUUGCGAAGGCAGCCUGCUAAGCUGCAACUGACAUUGAGGCUCGAAAGUGUGGGUAUCAAACAGGAUUAGAUACCCUGGUAGUCCACACGGUAAACGAUGAAUACUCGCUGUUUGCGAUAUACGGCAAGCGGCCAAGCGAAAGCGUUAAGUAUUCCACCUGGGGAGUACGCCGGCAACGGUGAAACUCAAAGGAAUUGACGGGGGCCCGCACAAGCGGAGGAACAUGUGGUUUAAUUCGAUGAUACGCGAGGAACCUUACCCGGGCUUAAAUUGCAGAUGAAUUACGGUGAAAGCCGUAAGCCGCAAGGCAUCUGUGAAGGUGCUGCAUGGUUGUCGUCAGCUCGUGCCGUGAGGUGUCGGCUUAAGUGCCAUAACGAGCGCAACCCUUGUUGUCAGUUACUAACAGGUUCCGCUGAGGACUCUGACAAGACUGCCAUCGUAAGAUGUGAGGAAGGUGGGGAUGACGUCAAAUCAGCACGGCCCUUACGUCCGGGGCUACACCGUGUUACAAUGGGGGGUACAGAGGGCCGCUACCACGCGAGUGGAUGCCAAUCCCCAAAACCUCUCUCAGUUCGGACUGGAGUCUGCAACCCGACUCCACGAAGCUGGAUUCGCUAGUAAUCGCGCAUCAGCCACGGCGCGGUGAAUACGUUCCCGGGCCUUGUACACACCGCCCGUCAAGCCAUGGGAGCCGGGGGUACCUGAAGUGCGUAACCGCGAGGAGCGCCCUAGGGUAAAACUGGUGACUGGGGCUAA
rnacentral:rRNA from 1 species